UCCGAGCGCACUAACCCUCGGGUUGGUGAGCGCCCGCCAGAGUCCAACCAAACUCUUGUAUUAAACCAGUCGUCUGAGUAUAAAAUUUUAAUUAAAUUAAAACUUUCAACAACGGAUCUCUUGGUUCUCGCAUCGAUGAAGAACGCAGCGAAAUGCGAUAAGUAAUGUGAAUUGCAGAAUUCAGUGAAUCAUCGAAUCUUUGAACGCACAUUGCGCCCCUUGGUAUUCCGAGGGGCAUGCCUGUUCGAGCGUCAUUACACCACUCAAGCAUCGCUUGGUAUUGGGAACGGUCCGUCGAAAGGCGGGCCUUCCUCGAAGACCUCGGCGGGGUUCAACCAACUUCGGGCGUAGUAGAGUUAAAUCGAACGUCUUAUAAGCUUGGUCGGAUCUCAUUGCCGUUAAACCUUUAAAUUUUCUAGGUUGACCUCGGAUCAGGUAGGGAUACCCGCUGAACUUAAGCAUAUCAAUAAGCGGAGGAAAAGAAACCAACAGGGAUUGCCCUAGUAACGGCGAGUGAAGCGGCAAUAGCUCAAAUUUGAAAGCUGGCCUUUGGUCCGCAUUGUAAUUUGUAGAGGAUGCUUUUAGGCAGCCGCCGGUCUAAGUUCCUUGGAACAGGACGUCAUAGAGGGUGAGAAUCCCGUAUGUGACCGGCUCAGGCACCUUCUGUAAAGCUCCUUCGACGAGUCGAGUUGUUUGGGAAUGCAGCUCUAAAUGGGAGGUAAAUUUCUUCUAAAGCUAAAUACUGGCGAGAGACCGAUAGCGCACAAGUAGAGUGAUCGAAAGAUGAAAAGUACUUUGGAAAGAGAGUUAAAAAGCACGUGAAAUUGUUGAAAGGGAAGCGCUUGCAAUCAGACUUGGCCUCGGUU
rnacentral:rRNA from 1 species